UUGCACGCUGGCGGCAGGCCUAACACAUGCCAGUCGAACGGUAACAGGAAGCAGCUUGCUGCUUUGCUGACGAGUGGCGGACGGGUGAGUAAUGUCUGGGAAACUGCCUGAUGGAGGGGGAUAACUACUGGAAACGGUAGCUAAUACCGCAUAACGUCGCAAGACCAAAGAGGGGGACCUUAGGGCCUCUUGCCAUCGGAUGUGCCCAGAUGGGAUUAGCUAGUAGGUGGGGUAACGGCUCACCUAGGCGACGAUCCCUAGCUGGUCUGAGAGGAUGACCAGCCACACUGGAACUGAGACACGGUCCAGACUCCUACGGGAGGCAGCAGUGGGGAAUAUUGCACAAUGGGCGCAAGCCUGAUGCAGCCAUGCCGCGUGUAUGAAGAAGGCCUUCGGGUUGUAAAGUACUUUCAGCGGGGAGGAAGGGAGUAAAGUUAAUACCUUUGCUCAUUGACGUUACCCGCAGAAGAAGCACCGGCUAACUCCGUG
rnacentral:rRNA from 1 species